AAUAAAUAAAAGGCAGCAGCAGGUUGGAGAGUGGUUUCUUCCAUGCCUUUGCAUCAGUGUCUGCUCAGGAUGAUUUCAUUUGCUGUCAGGAAACAUAAAAAGAGAUUCAGUCAUUCAACAUUGAAGAACAGCAGACUGAUUGGGGCCAGGCAGAGUAGCAGAGUUCUUACCAAAGACUAAGAUGGAGAAACCGAUCACGAAAACUCGUUUCAAGACAUUCCCAACUGCAUGGGUGAGCGGCGCCACUCUCUCCAGGGUGUUGGUUGCCAGCUGAGGAUAUUGAAACAGAAACAAGCAUGAUCGAUGAUUCUCAGGUUCCAAAUCAUUGUAGAGGGUAAUGUUUUGAGACAGCUGCACUAGGCUAAAUUACGACGUUUAUAUAUGUAUGUAUAGUGCUCUAACCUGAUUGUAGAGGUGGUAAAACAUUCCCACCCAGAACAGAUCAGUGAUGAACUUUGUAAGACCCACUUUAGCAAUUGCAUCAUUGAAUCCAUGCUUCAUCAGUUGAGGUCCCUCGAU